rnacentral:rRNA from 1 species
CCCUUAGAUGUUCUGGGCUGCACGCGCGCUACACUGAUGCGUUCAACGAGUUUUCAUCCUUGCCCGGUAGGGUUGGGUAAUCUUCUGAAAACGCAUCGUGAUGGGGAUAGAUUAUUGUAAUUAUUAAUCUUCAACGAGGAAUUCCUAGUAAGCGCGAAUCAUCAGUUCGUGCUGAUUACGUCCCUGCCCUUUGUACACACCGCCCGUCGCUCCUACCGAUUGAAUGGUCCGGUGAAAUCUUCGGAUUGCUGGAUAGGAGGGCAACCACCUAUCUGCGAGAAGUUGCUUGAACCUUAUCAUUUAGAGGAAGGAGAAGUCGUAACA